CUCUUUCUAUUGUAUAACACUGAGCAGGGAAAAGAGACAGAGAAAGCAGGCCCACAGCUGGAGCAGACCAGUCCUGUUUGAAUCAGGGGACAUUUGAGUCCCACUGCUGGAUAAGAAAGAGGAAUUCUGUCAGCCCCGGGUCAGGCUACAGCCAUGAAGCAAAGAGCAGUGGGAAAUGAGGUCUUCAGGUGCAAUAAAUCUUCCCCAGCUUCCUAAAGCCCUGCAUGUGAUCAUCAGAGGUGGGAGGUGAAAUCACAUGGUUACAAGGGUCCUGCUUGCAUGGUGGCAGACUUUUCCACUGCUCUGUGAUCUGGCAAAUGGAAAACAAAACAAAGAGCAAAACUGAAAGAACUACGGAUGACUAGUGCAGAGAUGCAGAUCACACUAAUUUUUAAAGUAAAUGUAUGGUCUUUCUUUUGUUCUUGGAAUAGAAAGCUAUAGCAGGCUUUGUUCAGGUAGGAAAUAGGUCAAAACAUGCCAAGAGAAGUGAAUGGAAAAUUUGUCUAGUCACCCAUAGAUUUUAAAGUGUGGAUUCACAACUAUAGCUAACAUUGUUUUCUACCAGCAGUGGUUAGUUAUUCCUUCAUGACAACACCCUUUUCUGUCCAGCCUCCUCACACAAAUCCUCCGAGUGCUCUGACCAGUUUAACUGCCUAAUAGUCCUAAAAGUGCAUCUAUUUUAGUUACACUGACAACCACACACCCAGCCCUGUCCUUUAAGGCACAAAACUGACCAGCUCUAUUUUUUACUAAACUCACGUGGCCUGCUCAAAACAAACAGAUACUGGCAGGAGCAAAAUCCAAAUUAUACACUGCUUUAUCCCAGGAACACAAAGUACAAGGCCGACUCAGUGAGUCAGACACCUCUGAGCCAGUGAGCUCCUCAGGUUGACAGAAGUCUCUCUGGGAUCCUCAUACUUGUAAGCCAGGACAUUUUCAGAAAAGAAUCAAAACAAUUGGGUUUAGACAAACAUGUGUUGUGUCAUUAACAAAAGUAUCUCUCUGCCAUCAGAGGGGAAAAGGCAGCAGAAAGUAUGCCAGGAAUGCUGGAAAUGGGCAGACAGUCACAGCGAGUCAUAUUUUCUUCUGGUUUUUUUUUCCCCCCAAGAAACUCCUUCAGCAUGAAAAGUCCAUUUGCGAGAGCAGUUAGUUACGGGGGAAAAGGCAAAUAUUUCAACAAUAACACAGGGAAUGUGGAUCCAAUUUAUGCACAACAGAAGCCGGAGAACUCCUCAAUCUCUGCAAAGAUUUCUCAGCAUCCUUGGAAAAUGCUUUGAAUACUUCAGCUGAGCCAACUUCAACCCUUCAAGCACAUCCCUUUGUCUAUCAGUAAAAGGCCAUAUUCCACACAUGUAUUUAUGAACAGUAAAUGCUAGAUGCACAUAGGCAGCCCUCUGGUUUCUAUGUUUCACAAGCGUUAGUUUUAAUCAAUUAAAUUAAUCCAUUUCCUUACGAUCAAAAUAGAGGUUUCUCCCACAAUUUGCUACUCUCUUACUAGAAACUGGAUGCCUUGAACCAAAUGCAUCACUUCCCCUACUCCACGUUUAAUUUCAUGCUUCUUUUCAGCUUGUUGUGGUUUUUAUGCUUCCCUGUGACAAAAGCAUCUAGGUUAUUGUGGAGUGCUACAAAAGAAGAUUUGCAGUAGAACAGCCUGUUUAAAAUAUGAAUCCAUUAGGUAUUAAUCUAUCUUGAUAUCUAUUUAGAAAUUUUUGUCUAUGAAACAAUGAAUAAUCUAACUCAUCUUGCCUCAUAAAAUACAAACCUUGUUUUCCUGGCAGUUUUACUUCAUAGAAAGAAAUUUAAAAAGGAAGACAGUAAGGGUUUUUUAUUACAAAAGAAUAAGCCAAUUGCUGGUUUAAAGGACUGCCAGAGGGUGUUGGACCCUUUUGCUCACUAUCAGGUGACAGACACAGACAUUUUUGGUAGAGGAGAAGUCUUGUGUGGAUGUUUAUCAGGCAUGGAAAUAGCAGCUGAUAAAGCAGCAAGAGGUGUUUUUCAUUCCUCAGUCUGUAAAAGAAGUGUUCCCUCUCCUCUUUGCAAACGAGAAAGUGGGUUGGCUUUUUUGAUUCAGGAUCCAAAACACAGUCUGAUAGCUGUGAACAACAACAAACAAGCUGUUUUCUGAGCUGAGAGCUCUGUGAAAUUUGAGGAACUUUCAAGAGACCAGAUUAACAACUGCACAUGAGAAUACCCAGCUACAGCAUAUAUGCAGAAGCAACAAGCUCUCAUUUUUAAUUUUAUUUCUAUUUCAUGUUUGACAUAACAAGUGCAAUCUGAGAUUUCUGUUUUCUUUCACCCCAUUCCUAUGAAGGGUGUGGGCUCAGGCAGGUUAACUACCUCAAAUUGUGAGACUGCAAAUUGAGUGUACUUUUGGUUAAGAGCUGGAAAAGAAAAAAUCAGGUUGAAUAACAGUCUGUCAGGUGCCCUGACAUUUGAUCAAAUGUAGCCCCCUGGAAGAAAAUCUACAUUGAGGAGUACUGUCCUCAAAGCCAUAUAUUAAUGUGGGCUGGUAAAGUACUUCUCAUCUUACGUUUUAAAAAUAUAUAUAUGUUUUGUUAAGAAUGAAUUAAAUACAAAGCAAUGAGUCCAGACAACAAGAUGUAUCAAUUACUUUUUAAAAAAUAAUAUUCAAUGUAACUAUUAUAUGUAAAAGAGCUCCUAAAAAUGUCAGGGACAAGGCUGUUGAUAAUUACUUUCCUGUGGGUGAUGACCGAGGUAGUAUUUUAGGAAAGAAUAGUCUUCCUAAGUUCCUUCUGGAGGAAUUUUAUUGAUUAGUGAGUGCUGUAUAUUACCCAGAGGCUUACAAGGUAGCAAGAAUUGAGAGGAUUCUAGUAUUUCAAAAGCUCAAGGGGAAGGACCAUUGAGGACACCACUAUCCAUCUGCAGGGUGGCUUAGAGGAACUCAAAUUAUUCAAAACUUUGAAGAAACCUUUCAGAGCCUAUUGAAAAUUACAUCUGAAGAGCUCUCAACAGGACCUGUUAAACUAAUUGCACAUCUCCAUUCAAGUCCCAAACUCUUCAGGAAGAAAUGUUUGCUUAUACCCUGAAAGGCUGAACUUAGAACCUUAAUACAAGCUCUUCCACUAUAACUCACUACAAUGAUCUUCCUGAGUGGAAAAAAAAAACCAAAAACCUGAUACAUCUUGCCUUUCAAUAUUUUAAACCAGCAUGAACCAAAAGUUAGUGCAAAACCAAAGGAAGAAAAUGCAUUAACAGACAAAGCUAUCUCAGACCCAGGGCUGCUGAGAAAGACUGAAAUCAGUCUUUGGUCUCAAACCUUGAGAAUCACAAAAGAAGGAAAGAAUUCAAUGGUUCAGUAUUGGUCAAAAAAGAAAACUGUUUGCCAUAUCUUUUGUAUUUAAGAAAACAAGGUCCAAUUCUUGAUUCCCUACACUGUAAACAGGACAGUGUUAGGAUGCAAAGACUAAAACAUAAGAGGCUAAAACAACUGGUUGAAAGCUGUGUGUUCCAUGAGGUUUGCGUGUAAUGUUUCUGCACUGCUGGUUAUGUUUUGACACCACAACACUUUUUACUGCAGAGGAAUCUUAACUGCUGUGGCCUCCAGAUUUCCAGAAGUCAAAAGGAUCUUUUUUUCAGUUCACAAUGGAAGUAUACACCUAUGUUUCUCUAAUAGCAUCUGUGCAAAAUCCUCAUUACAGAAAAGCCUUUCAUUUCUGUGUCUAUGUAUUUUUUCUGUGUUUCAAAAGACCACAAGCAUAACUCACUAGCAGAGCAUACCAGAGACUGAAAUAGGCAAAUGGGAUGUAACAACAAUUCUGUGAAACUCAAGGAACAGUAUAUGAUGUUCUCAAUUAACUUCUCAUUAAUUAAUUUUCAAUCUUCCUGUCAUGUGUUGAUGACAUAAACUAUAGACAGACCCUUCCCUUCUCUGGGCAGGACUACUUCUCUGUCACACUAUGCCUAUUAAAGAACUACACCACGCCCAACAACAGCCCCAUGCCUUCCUUGCUGAGUGUGCUUACUCCCCAAGAGCUGACAACCAAGAAUGACAUUUCUGAACUCACUCCUCUUUGGUUUCUCAUAUAUCACAGCCUCAACAAAAAAGUUCUCAUGCAUCUCAUUACUCACCUA